GAGCAUCCUUGUCUUGUUCCAGUUGUCAAGGGGAAUGCUUCUAAGUUUUGCCUGCUUAGUGUGAUGUUGGCUGUGACUUUGUCAUAUAUGUCUCGUAUAGUUUGAACAGGCAGUCAAUGAGAUAAAACAUGAUUUUUAGAUUUUGUAUCAUCUGAUAUCAUUAGUCCCUGGAUUAUAUUGAACUUAAAUUUGAUCAACCUAAAUAUUGGGAUACAUAUUUAUUUUUAAAUUCCAGUUCCACAAAGUAAUUAUAUGUACUUAGAAGUUUAAAAUCUAAAACAGACAAAGCUGAACUAAACAACAGGGAUUUGUGUCUUCAUCUUUUUGUAUCUCUCAAAAUGCUGCAAAACAUUAGAUGAUAAAUAGCUGUGGAACUGAUAUUACUUCACUGUACAUUUAAUUUGCUUUAAAUUUAUUACAUAAAAGCCCAUACUCUAAAAAAUAGUAGAUUUAAAUGGUGUUUUCUUUACAAAAGAAAUCUCAAAUUGCACUGAGUAUCAAUUACUUUAGCAAAUAUGAAAAUUACAUGAGAUUCUAUAUAUUAAAAAUUUGUGCAAUUUUUUUUCAGUUGUGUGUCAAAUUGAGUUUACAUAUUGUUCUCUUCCAGUGUCUCUGUCACAAAUUCAUCCAUCUUUAAAUGAUACCACAUUAGUCUUCCUAAAGCACAGGUCUAAACAUUCACUUUAUACCUCAAGUUCCUUUAUUGGAUUUUCAUUACUUAAACAUUCUAUACCAAGAACACUCCUGGGGAAUUCAUCAUGCUCAGCCAUGCAUCCCCUACUUACAUUUCCAGUCUUCUUUCCCAAGGCUUCUUUUAUUCAUUCUGUACUCCCAUCAAAAUAGGCUACUCAUUUUACCUAGAACAUAUCCCAAAUUUCCUGCCCUUGUUUUUCCAUGCUAUUCCACCUACUCUUAUAUCAUUUCCUUUCUUCUGCUGCUGACUUAUUAUCCAUUCUUCAAAAGCUCAAAUGUCUUUCACAUACUUUUAAACUUGAUUCAAUUGUUCUCACUAUUAAUUAUCUUAAUUAGUCAUUUAUGCCAUUUGCACAUUCUACAGUCUACUUUGGUUAUAUAGAUAUUUGCAUUAGGCUUUCUCAUCUUUCUUCAAUCUACAGAAGUAGUGGAGAAUUUUGCUUACUAAAUAUUGAGCUCAAUAAAUAUUGCUGAAUUUAAUUGAGGGUCAGGGAUGCUUCUGUGGAAUGAUUAAACGAAUACUAUAAGGAAAGAAGUGAUGGGCAUAUUUAUCAUAAAUACCCCUAAAUGAAAUGGAGAGGAACAUACAGCUUGGCUGCAGAGGAUGUGGUCAUUAUGUAAGCUAGGACAGUCACAUCCAAUUUCAGAUACAUCCUCAGCUCUUUACCUCGGAAGUAUGCAUUGCAUUGGUCAGAGAUCAUGUUUCAUCCAUCUUUAAAUUCAUUUUCUAGCAUAUGGAAGGUGUUAGGUAAAUACACAUUUAAUGAAUGUAUGACAUCCUGCUGCAGUAUGAGUUCUGUCAUCGAGAUGUGAGUCAAGAUUUUGAACUCGAAAAUUAGCACAAUAAUAUCCUCACCUGGAAGCAGUAUUAUCUGUGUGUCCUUCUCCACUCAAGAUCAAAAAUGCAUGCUAACCAUAUCAUUAAACAAUGUUUAAGAUUUAUCAUCAUUGGUGGAUUCAUCUUGGACUUUUCAAAAACAUUCAAGCAUGCACUAAGAAUGAAUGACUUUUAUUCAGAAUUUAUGUUAUUACUUAAAAUGUUUAAAGCCAUACCAUCCAUAGUAUUUUGAAAACUAAACUGCCUUCCUUUAAAAAAAAAAAAAUUCCACUGGUUGCCUUACUCAAGACAUGCAGUCACAACACUGACUCAUGAUACUUAAGACUUUAGUUACUUAAAAAACAAAAUUUGGGAGCUACUUUUUAUUUCAGAGUAAUGCAUUUAUUCAAAAAUUAUUAUAAAAUACAUAUGAAAGAUUAAGAAAACAAUGUUAUAAUAUAAUCACUGAAAGAUAAUAAUCAUUAGAUAUUUUGGCACAUAUAUUUCUAGUUAUUUUGUGCAUAUUUGUGUAAUUUUAUUUUUUUCCCACAAAAUCAGAAACGUAUCUUAGACCAUCUUUUUCACUGAAAUUUCCAUUUAAAAUAGCUUUCAAUACAAAUAAAUACACUUCUAUAAUAUUAAUGGCAGAAUGCAUGUGGUUUAUUUAUUUUAUUGCUUUAGGUAAUUAAUUAUUUGGGCUAAAUCUUUGUAUAAAUGUUUGAUUAUCUUCUAGGAUAAGAUCUUGGAAAUGAAAUGCUGCUUCAAAUGUCCCUGUUACUCUACAUCCUCACAUUUGAGGAUUUAUUUGUGUCUAUGUAAAACUCGAUUUCUGUCCAGAAACUCCUUGUCUGGAUCAUUUCAUAACUGGAAGCCUUGGUACCAUAUCAAUUAUGACAAAUAAAAUAAUAAAAAGAGGACUCUGUAAAUUAUGCCAACAGUUCACUUACCUAUGAGGGUGAAAGCCACUACUGUUUAAGUAAUUGCCAAUGUUGUACUUCUUUUCUUUUCUAUCAGAAUUUGAACUCAACCAUUAAAGCUAAGUUGUUUUAGAUUUAACAAAGAAAACCUGACUGUAUUAGUUUGUUUGUACCAACCAAGUCCUACAUAUUGAAAAGCUUAAACAACAGAAACUUAUUUCCUCACAGUUUUGAAGGCUAGAAGUCCAAGACCAAGGUGUCAGCAAUGUUGGUUCCUUCUGAGGGCCUCUCUGCUUAACUUGCAGCUGACAGUCUUUUUCUGUUGUCUUCACUUGGUCCUUCCUUUCUGUCUAUGUCUAAAUUUCCUCUUCUUAUAAGGAUGCCCAUCCUAUUGGUUAGGGCCCACUCUAAUGACCGCCUUUAAAAUUACCUCUCUAAAGGCCCUAUCUUCAACUACAGUCAUGUCCUGGUGUAAGGAGGGUUAAGACUUCAAUAUAUGAAUUUGGGGAGGAUAAUUCAUUCCAUAAUACUUAGAAUUUUGUAUCAUCUCUUCUAGUAAGUGAAUAGUAAUCCUUUUAUUAUUCUAAAGUAUGAUGAUAAAGGAUUUCAGAUAGCCACAUUUCAUCAAUCAGUAAAAAAAAAAAUCUAUUUCCACACUUCAUUGAUAAGAUUCAUGAGAGUGGGGACUGGGUCUGUCUUCAUCAUUAUUCCCAUUGGCAAAUAUAUUGUCUAAAACAGAAUGGGUACAUAGCAAACAUUUGUGAAUUAGAUGAAUAAAUGAAAGGAAUAUCCAUUUACUUAAGAAACUGUGAUAAUUAGUGCUAGGGAAAAACCAAGGAAGUGUUGUGUCACUUUCAAAGAGUGUGCAAUAUCAAGGGAAGGAUUACAGCAUUUGAAGUCAGAUAAUAAAGCCAUAUUGCAAAUUAAAAUGCCCUCAAGGGGUAGGCAAGUAAUUUAAAUGUGUGAAGCAGCUAUGAGUAAGAAAAUAAGGAAUGAUAGGGGCCUUCUAUUAACUAGAAAAUCAGUAUUAAUCUUAAAGGUAAUCAAAUUAUACUUUCUUUAAAAAUCAGCAAUAACAGUGUACUUUUAAAUGAAAUAUGUCUGAGAAUUUACUUAGAACCACAAUGUGUCAGUUCUUGACUUUUGUUUAGGAUAUGCAGUUGCAUCAUUUUACAAAUCAACUAAAAACAUCAUUAAAAUCAAAUGGCUAAUGAAUAGCAUAGACUGCAAUAUUUGUGGUAUUUGUGGUAUCACUGACUAAUCUGAGAAAAGACUGUAGAACUAACAGUUCAUUUUGUCCUUCAAACCAUUGUCAGAUGAAAACAUAAUCUAAGCAGUCUCAAAAUGUCUUCACUGGUUUAAAACAUGUGAGUAAUUCUACAUAGAAAUCUUUACCAAUUUAUAGACUAUCUUAUUAGUUAUAAACACUAUUAUAGUAAACCUCUAAAUUGUUUCCCAAUUGUGUUAUAUGUGUCUAUGAACCUUUAUGGUAGGCUAGUUUUGUUUUUUACCCAGACAAUUUUUUAAAUGUCUCCAUUGUUCUGCAACAGGUUAUUAUUUCAAUUAUUUACAGAGAUUCUACAUGGUUUAAAAAAAUCACUUCGGAUCAAUUCCCAUAAACUAAUAUUAUAUCUCGCUUUUUCAUAGCCUCCAUCAAUUCCUUCCCUGUUGAGCUAUUUGUACGUCUCAGCCAAAGGAGUAUAUGUAUCAGAUGUUGAAUGAAUUCCUCUACCAAAACAUAUUCUCUCACAAAAGAGAAAGCCCUGAAUUACUGUGUCAUAUGCUUGUCCCCCAACAAAGCAUAUACAGUUCUGGAGAAUUCCAAGACCAAGGUACCAGAAGAUCUGGAGGUGUCUGCUAAGUUUUACUUUCUUCCCUGAGAGAAAGAAUAUGGAACAGCUGUAUGAUCUACGCAAUAGUUGAUGCAAAACUACAUCGAAUCUCCAUGCUAUUUGCCAUAUCUUUGUCAACUGAUAUCAGUAAAAGCGCCAUGACUCGGUUUCUCAAACAUACAAGUGAGAUCACUCUCCUCAUGGGCAACCUUCAACAUGCUGGAAGACCAAACAGCAGAGUGCAGUGGAGGAAGUCCUAGAAGAAACUCUAUGAAGAAUUCCUGUGACAAGUAUGCUGAAGAUUUUGACCCAUGGACUGAGAACAAAAUGCAACUUCAGUUUUGUCUCUCUCUGGUUGUAACUGUCUUGACCUGUAAUGAUUAAAUGUUUUUUACUUUGA